CGGGGUGCAGCAGGCGCGAAAACUUUACAAUGCUGGAAACAGCGAUAGGGGGACUUUGAGUGCCAGGAUACAAUUCUGGCNGUCGUCGUGCCUAAAAAGCACGGCAUAGCAAGGGCCGGGCAAGACCGGUGCCAGCCGCCGCGGUAACACCGGCGGCUCGAGUGGUAACCGCUAUUAUUGGGUCUAAAGGGUCUGUAGCCGGCUGAAAAAGUCUCUUGGGAAAUCCGGCAGCUUAACUGUCGGGCUUUCAGGAGAUACUCUUCGGCUCGAGACCGGGAGAGGUGAGAGGUACUUCAUGGGUAGGGGUGAAAUCUUGUAAUCCUUGAAGGACCACCAGUGGCGAAGGCGUCUCACCAGAACGGAUCUGACGGCAAGGGACGAAAGCUAGGGGCACGAACCGGAUUAGAUACCCGGGUAGUCCUAGCCGUAAACGAUACUCGCUAGGUGUCGGCCACGGUGCGACCGUGGUCGGUGCCGUAGGGAAGCCGUGAAGCGAGCCACCUGGGAAGUACGGCCGCAAGGCUGAAACUUAAAGGAAUUGGCGGGGGAGCAC
rnacentral:rRNA from 1 species